GACGAACGCUGGCGGCGUGCCUAAUACAUGCAAGUAGGACGCAGUUGCGAACGGGUGAGUAACGCGUAGGUGUCUGCCUCUUAGAGGGGGAUAACUAUUUGAAACGAUAGCUAAUACCGCAUACUAGUAGAUGGACCUGCGUUUUAUUAGCUAGUAGGUAGGGUAAUGGCCUACCUAGGCAACGAUACAUAGCCGACCUGAGAGGGUGAUCGGCCAAACUUGGACUUGGACACGGCCCAGACUCCUACGGGAGGCAGCAGUAGGGAUACUUCGGGAAUGGGAGGAACGCUGAACGAGCAACGCCGCGUGAGUGAAGAAGGUUUUCGGAUCGUAAAGCUCUGUUGUUAAGGAAGCGGUACUUAACCAGAAAGGGACGGCUAACUACGUGCCAGCAGCCGCGGUAAUAC
rnacentral:rRNA from 1 species